UCAGAGCUUAUAAUUUCAAGUUCCUUUAAUUAUGAUUUUUUUUAAAUUCAAUUUGAUCUCCCGCCCUCGUCGGUCGACUACUGAUCAACUAUCAAUCGAUCAGUUAUCCCCGCCAGGUGUUACCACUCAUCCAGCAAACAUCACGUAGUAGGGAUGAGGACGAAGCCGGUCUCCUGUCUUACUUAUUCACUAUAUGUAUAUAUUUGAGAGCUAUACAUUUUUCGGCCAUGUUUUUUUGGUUUUAUUUGUGUAUCAAUAGUAUGUUCAGUAGGUUUGAGAAUCGGCUACAAUCUAUUUUUCAUACCCCUAAGUGAUAAGGGUUGUCCACACCAAACAUUUAUUAUAAUUUUUUUUUUUGGAUAAUAUUUUUUAUGUGGUUGAAUCUACGAAUAAAUAAUAAGUAAGGAAGUCUAACUCGGAACAAAUUUCACAAAAAAAGUGGCCCCACUUCAAACCAAAACGACGUAUGAAACAAAAACCAAUCACAACCGAGGUUGGAAAUAAACAUCAUUUGUGAUUGGUUUGAUUUCAAAACCAAAGGAGGGAUUGGGUCAUGCACUUGCUGCAAUGUCUGCUAUGACAGCAGAGUCAUGACAGCGUAGACGAUAUAACAAAUGUAAUAAGUGGACCGGACAAAGUUAAUAAUGAAACAAUAUAAUUAUGUCCCUGGACAUAUUUUUAAUUUGUUAAGUUUUUGCCUAGAAGACGUUAAAAAAUAAUCUUUUUUCGCAAUGUAGGGAAGACGGAUUCUGAUUUUUAUAUAAUAUUAAAACAAAAUGGAAUGGUCAUUAUUUGUCUGGUGACUGUUUUUUGUAAGCGCAGAAUAUCUUCAUUGUCAAUUAUUUUAGAAAAACACUGUAGAUAUUACUGACAGAAUACUUGUUCGAAAUUCCAUUGGCAGGAAAACUAAAAGAAAACAAAUUAAGCAAAAUCCAUUAUCGUCAUAAAAUUAUCAAAUUAAAUAUACCUAUUUUAUAAUAAAAAAUAUUUUAUCGA